CAAGAAGCUGCUUGUCUGAAGUGGGUUUAGUUCAGUGAGUACAGAAGUUGCAGGAAAAGCCAUGGGGGUAGAGACAUUCCUCAGUGUAUUUAUUCAAAGUUAAUGUUCCCCUGCUUCCACGGAAUAAGAAGGGGCUGGAAUAUCUAUGAGAACUUUAUUCCCACCACGGCUGGAAAUAUAAAUCAACAUGCUGCAGAAGGAAAACAAAAUCCAGAGAUUAUUUUCCCUUGUUUGGGUUCCUUCUUUCCACGGUGUCUCCACGUGCUCAGUUCUCCCUGAGCUGGGAGAGAGCCGGGAAUACAGAGAGGAGCCUGGAGCCUCCAAGGAUCACAGCAAAUGGAGCAGCUGGGCUGGCACACACCUGGGACCUCUGGGUCCAGCUCUCUCCUCUGGAAGGUGUCCGUGAUAAUGGAUCUUGGGAAUGCAGCAAAAUUCUUUUUUUAAAAUCCCUGCAGGUUCUCUAAAUUCCAACAUUUCCACCAUUAACCAUCCCUUGGGACAGAAAGUUCUCAUUGUGCAACUAGAGAAGCCUCUUUACCCCAGCUGCUCACUGCCCUUAUUCUCAGCCAGAAUGAGGCAAGUCCUGCCUCCCACUUAAAAAAAUCUGGUGUUGUCACCCUUUUCCCAUCCAAUACGCACUGAGAUGAGCACAGCUCACUGUCACAGGAAGGAGUGGCCUCCUGUGGUGGUAGCACAGGGAUUAGAGCACUCAUCCAGCCUUGAGCAGUUCUUCUCACCCCUUCCCUCUUGGGGACCACACAACCCCACACUGAAAUCAGUGAGGUUCCUUCAGUUCCAGGCUGAAGUUAAAUGAGUGAAAAUGAGCAAAAAUUAAAAAAAAAAAAAGAAAGAAAAAUUUGAGAUCUGGCAUUAAGCCAGGUAAAAUUAAAGUGUUCCAAACUCAUGCAGGUAUCAAAGGAAAAGGGAGACAAUUCAGGCUGAGAAUGAGGGGUGCAGAAAGCCCUGAUUAGGAGGGUGGCACUGUGGCUUUAUGAGGGAAUGAGAGGACAGCUUGGAGUUAAACAUCAAAGUACAGACAGGUGAGAUUAUAACAGAACGAAACCCAAGCACAGGCUAAUGUUCUGCUGGGAAUUGUUCUACUCUGCUGCAAGGAGCACAUUUCCCAUUGUCUCUGCUUGAAAAUCCUCUGUGCAAAGAAGACCUUUGGCAACUCAGAUGUGGAUUUGGCAUUGCAAACCAGCAUUAAUCCUCAGCAAUUACAAAGUGUUUUCAGGCUGACCUUCUCCUGCCACAUGGAAGCUGGACAGGAGGAAGAGCCAGAGGUUUGGAAAGUGUCUCUGAGGCUUGGAUCAUAAUGAAAACAUUCCUGCUGCAAUCAGAGAGUGGCUGCAGACCGUGUGGAUGUGCCUGGGGGAGCUUUAAAAGCUGUUUGGGGAGGCAGAGAGAGGGGCAGCAUCCACAACGUGAUGCUCAGAGCCAGCUGCAAGCCCUGCCUGAGUGAGACACAGCAGAAAUGAGUGUUUAGCUCAGCAUCCCUCUAAUUAGUGCUGCUGUUCACAAAGCAAUCGGUGUAAAGGACAUUAAUCAAGUUGGCGCCAAGAGGUCUAUUCACAAUAUCUCCUCCCUAACAAGGACCACUCCCUCUGGAGGGAGAAAUCUUCCAUGAUGUUGCUGGGAUGGGAUCCACCUGGCUCUGCUUCCACCUCUUCCCUGCCUUGCAGCCAGCAAAGCCCUCUGAAGCUCCAGGAGGAGAAAAUUUGGGUUGAAUUAAUCACCUGUGGUUCUAGAUGCAUUUGCUGCAUCGCACAACUCAUCUCUGCAUUCACUUGUUGGUCUCGUGAGGUUUGAUUAAAAUUUGGUAGGGGAUUCCAGGACCUUCCAGUGACCCAUCGUGGUGUGUGCUGGAAAUUUAUUCAGGUCAAUUAGACAUCUGCCACGUUCAGCCUCAAAGGCCAUGACAUAUGUUUGCUCAACAGGGUGUGGCAACAAGGAGAAAUUGAAUUUGCAUGCUGAGCAAGGUGGCACGAAGGUGUAUCAAUAUCGGUUUUUAAUGAGAUCUGCUGGCUUUCACAGGCAGCAAAAAGUGUAAAUUUAUGCUAAAGUGUCAACAAAUGCCAGUCAAAGGAAUCUCUGUGUGGUGCCUGAAUGCAAAAGGCACAGAGGGAUAGGAGGAGUCAUUAGGAUCAGCUUCCAAGAAUUGAAUCAACUUGAAUUUAUUGGGCUGCACUUGCCCAAGCCAAGGGUGUUGCAGAGCCAGGAAGAGAAUCCAGAAUUCCUGAGUGUCCAAUGCCACCAGACCAGCAGGAACCCUCCCAUUUACUGCCAGGUGUAAAGCAAUGGAGAGAGACUGGAGCUGCUCCAUGGGAAUUGCUGAGCAGAAGGUUAAGACAGCCAUCCUGAGUCUGGUCUGACUGGAGACGUGUCUGUGUGCCAGGCUGAGCACUCCAGGGUGGGAUGAAGCACUUUGUGUCAUAACCUGUCAUGUCAAACCCCUGUGGGAGCCAGGCUGAGGUGAUCCAGCCCAGCAGACUGUGUUACCCUCGUGCUGCAUGCUGGCAACACGUGCAAUAUGUCAGAGCACUUAGUCAGGCAAGGCAGUGAUAUAAAUAAAAUAAAACUCAGCUGUUCUCUUAGCAUCUAUUUCAUUUUUCCAUCUGCAGUCACAACUGGGGAAUAACUAAUUCAAAGCAGAACAUCCCCAGCAUGGAUUUGGCACUGCUGCUAAAUUCCAUGUCGUGCUACCACCCCUUUCCAACCCCAGAAUGAAAACACCAAGUGAAAUCACCUUUGGGAGGAAAAGCCAAAUGAAGCAUUUCCUAGACAGAGGAACACAUCGCAUCAAGAACCCGAGAUCUGCAUCAAAUGCACCACGACAAUUCCCCUUCAGAAAACAUCCCAGUGGUUCUGUUACUCCAAUUUAUGCUGUGAAUUGUGGAUUUGCUUCCAGAUGAAAUGGAGUU